rnacentral:rRNA from 1 species
CGCGCGAUACAGGGUGACAGCCCCGUACACAAAAGCGCAUGUGUUGUGAGCUCGAUGAGUAGGGCGGGACACGUGGUAUCCUGUCUGAAUAUGGGGGGACCAUCCUCCAAGGCUAAAUACUCCUGACUGACCGAUAGUGAACCAGUACCGUGAGGGAAAGGCGAAAAGAACCCCGGCGAGGGGAGUGAAAAAGAACCUGAAACCGUGUACGUACAAGCAGUGGGAGCACCCUUCGGGGUGUGACUGCGUACCUUUUGUAUAAUGGGUCAGCGACUUAUAUUCUGUAGCAAGGUUAACCGAAUAGGGGAGCCGGAGGGAAACCGAGUCUUAAUUGGGCGUUAAGUUGCAGGGUAUAGACCCGAAACCCGGUGAUCUAGCCAUGGGCAGGUUGAAGGUUGGGUAACACUAACUGGAGGACCGAACCGACUAAUGUUGAAAAAUUAGCGGAUGACCUGUGGCUGGGGGUGAAAGGCCAAUCAAACCGGGAGAUAGCUGGUUCUCCCCGAAAGCUAUUUAGGUAGCGCCUCGUGAAUUCAUCUCCGGGGGUAGAGCACUGUUUCGGCUAGGGGGCCAUCCCGGCUUACCAACCCGAUGCAAACUGCGAAUACCGGAGAAUGUUAUCACGGGAGACAC